AUGGACAGGGAGGGACUUCAGAACAAGGACGAGAAUUUGAAAAUCGAGGUGUUAUUGGACCGGGAGCCAAUGUCGCUCAGUGAGGACGGUGGGGGAUGGGGAUGGGAUUUGUUGCGAGUUCGGAUACGGGCAGCAGAGUUUUGGGGUAUCAAUGGAGAGAUUAUCAUGACCCAGUCUCCCCCGGUGCUGUCAGUGGAACUGGGCCAGACUGCAACCAUCACCUGUACGGCCAGUCAAGACAUUAGCAGCUACCUCAGUUGGUACCAGCAGCGAGAAGGUCAGAAACCCUCUCUCCUGAUCUAUGCUGCAACAUCUCGAUUCACAGGAGUCUCCGAGCGAUUCACCGGCAGUGGAUCAGGGACCAGUUACACCCUGACAAUCAGCAACGUUCAGAAUGAGGAUGUCGCUGACUAUUACUGUCAGAACAACUGGUAUAGCAGCUCCGCUCAACACAGUGAUACAGAGCCAUACAAAAACCUCAAGAUACACAGCACCGCCUCAUGCACUGACACAUCAAUCAGUUAUAUAAAAUGUAUAAUAAUGGACACACAGUCCCACAGCCUGAACUGA